rnacentral:rRNA from 1 species
UACGUAGGGUCCGAGCGUUGUCCGGAAUUACUGGGCGUAAAGAGCUCGUAGGUGGUUUGUCGCGUUGUUCGUGAAAACUCACAGCUUAACUGUGGGCGUGCGGGCGAUACGGGCAGACUUGAGUACUGCAGGGGGAGACUGGAAUUCCUGGUGUAGCGGUGGAAUGCGCAGAUAUCAGGAGGAACACCGGUGGCGAAGGCGGUUCUCUGGGCAUUACCUGACGCUGAGGAGCGAAAGUGUGGGGAGCGAACAGG